rnacentral:rRNA from 1 species
CAGUCGAGCGGUAGAGAGAAGCUUGCUUCUCUUGAGAGCGGCGGACGGGUGAGUAAUGCCUAGGAAUCUGCCUGGUAGUGGGGGAUAACGUUCGGAAACGAACGCUAAUACCGCAUACGUCCUACGGGAGAAAGCAGGGGACCUUCGGGCCUUGCGCUAUCAGAUGAGCCUAGGUCGGAUUAGCUAGUUGGUGAGGUAAUGGCUCACCAAGGCGACGAUCCGUAACUGGUCUGAGAGGAUGAUCAGUCACACUGGAACUGAGACACGGUCCAGACUCCUACGGGAGGCAGCAGUGGGGAAUAUUGGACAAUGGGCGAAAGCCUGAUCCAGCCAUGCCGCGUGUGUGAAGAAGGUCUUCGGAUUGUAAAGCACUUUAAGUUGGGAGGAAGGGCAGUUACCUAAUACGUAAUUGUUUUGACGUUACCGACAGAAUAAGCACCGGCUAACUCUGUGCCAGCAGCCGCGGUAAUACAGAGGGUGCAAGCGUUAAUCGGAAUUACUGGGCGUAAAGCGCGCGUAGGUGGUUUGUUAAGUUGAAUGUGAAAUCCCCGGGCUCAACCUGGGAACUGCAUCCAAAACUGGCAAGCUAGAGUAUGGUAGAGGGUGGUGGAAUUUCCUGUGUAGCGGUGAAAUGCGUAGAUAUAGGAAGGAACACCAGUGGCGAAGGCGACCACCUGGACUGAUACUGACACUGA